UACCUGGUUGAUCCUGCCAGUAGUCAUAUGCUUGUCUCAAAGACUAAGCCAUGCAUGUCUAAGUAUAAGUAUUAUACAGCGAAACUGCGAAUGGCUCAUUAAAACAGUUAUAGUUUAUUUGAUAAUCGAAUUUACAUGGAUAACCGUGGUAAUUCUAGAGCUAAUACAUGCUGGUAUGCCCGACUUUUGCGGAAGGGCGGUAUUUAUUAGAUAACAAGCCAAUAUUCCUCUGGUCUAUUGUGGUGACUCAUAAUAACUGAUCGAAUCGCAAGGCCUUUGGCCGCGAUAAGUCAUUCAAGUUUCUGCCCCAUCAGCUUUCGAUGGUAGUGUAUUGGACUACCAUGGCGUUUACGGGUAACGGAGGAUUAGGGUUCGAUUCCGGAGAGGGAGCCUGAGAAACGGCUACCACAUCUAAGGAAGGCAGCAGGCGCGUAAAUUACCCAAUCCUGACUCAGGGAGGUAGUGACAAGAAAUAACGGACCGAGGUCAUUCGACUUCGGGAUUGCAAUGAGCCGAAUUUACACCCCUUAGCGAGUAUCAAUUGGAGGGCAAGUCUGGUGCCAGCAGCCGCGGUAAUUCCAGCUCCAAUAGC
rnacentral:rRNA from 1 species